rnacentral:rRNA from 1 species
UACAGAGGAGCCAAGCGUUGUCCGGAUUGACUGGGCGUAAAGCGCACGCAGGCGGCCGCGCGCGUGGGGUGUGAAAUCUGGCCGCUUAACGGCCAGGCGCCAUCCCAUACGGCGCGACUGGAGUGAUGCAGAGGUCGAUGGAAUUGCCGGUGUAGUGGCGAAAUGCGUAGAGAUCGGCAGGAACACCCAGGGGGAAACCAGUCGACUGGGCAUCUACUGACGCUGAGGUGCGAGAGCGUGGGGAGCGAACCGG